rnacentral:rRNA from 1 species
UACGUAGGGUGCAAGCGUUGUCCGGAAUUAUUGGGCGUAAAGAGCUCGUAGGCGGUUUGUCGCGUCUGCUGUGAAAACCCGAGGCUCAACCUCGGGCCUGCAGUGGGUACGGGCAGACUAGAGUGCGGUAGGGGAGAUUGGAAUUCCUGGUGUAGCGGUGGAAUGCGCAGAUAUCAGGAGGAACACCGAUGGCGAAGGCGGUUCUCUGGGACGGUACUGACGCUGAGACGCGAAAGCGUGGGGAGCGAACAGG